GCCCCAAAACAGAAAGGAAAGCUCACCACCAGAAUGUGCCUUUUCCUUAUCAAAAAGAAUUGCUGCCCCUUACAGGACAGGAGGACUCCAAUUGUGACCAAGUUGGAGCAGCCUUGAGCCACAACUCAGACUUAUUUUCAUUCUCUGCUCAUUGGCCAUUAGGAACCCGAUCCUUAUGGUAUGUUCACACUGUCUCCAGGCUGGGCACAGUGGCUCACACUUGUAAUCCCAGCACUCUGGAGGCCAAGGUGGGUGGACGGCUUGAACUCAGAGUUUGAGACCACCGUGAGCAACAUGACAAAACGCUAUCUCUACAAACAAUAUAAAAAUUAGCCUGGUGUGGUGGUGCACGCCUGUGGUCCCAGCUACUAGGGGCUGAUGUGGGAGGAUUGCUUGAGCCUGGAAAGUGGAGGUUGCAGUGAGCUGAGAUUGCACCACUGCACUCCAGCCUGGGUGACACAAGGAGACGCUGUCUCAAUGUUGUUGCUAUGAUUUUUCUUUUUAAGACCUGCAGUGACCUGCUGCUACCAGAACUGACUCGCUUCAAAGUGACGGAUGAAACCCAUAUGGAGAUAUUCCUGGGGUGGGUAGGCCAGUUGGAAGACAGAGUGUUUACACCUGAGAGAGGACUUGAGAAUUUUACUCAGUCACGUUGCUCACUGCUGCGCACUCCUGCAGACGCAUCCCAGUGGACUCUGCGCUGCAUCCCCAGAGUACAGCGAGUUUCCCGCCUCCCGUUAGAGAUCCAACACAUAUUUUUUUUGAAAGAAGAAACUGAUGGAAGACAGGAAGCAAAAAGGAGAGGAAGGAAAGGGAUAGGAAGGAGGGGAAGGAAAGGGAAAGGAAGGAAAAGAAAGGAAAGUGAACUUGAAAUCCUACAAGGUCUCAAAGUCAAAAAACAUGUAAGUCAAUUAUCACAGAAAAUAAAAGAACUGCUACAAGGGCAA
ensembl:lncRNA LINC01020 long intergenic non-protein coding RNA 1020